GAUGAACGCUAGCGGCAGGCCUAAUACAUGCAAGUCGAGCGGUAAGGCCCUUCGGGGUACGACGAGCGGCGAACGGGUGAGUAACACGUGGGUGACCUGCCCUUAGCUCUGGGAUAAGCCUGGGAAACUGGGUCUAAUACCGGAUAUGACCUCAUGACGCAUGUUGUGGGGUGGAAAGCCUUGUGCGGCUAGGGAUGGGCCCGCGGCCUAUCAGCUUGUUGGUGGGGUGAUGGCCUACCAAGGCGACGACGGGUAGCCGGCCUGAGAGGGCGACCGGCCACACUGGGACUGAGACACGGCCCAGACUCCUACGGGAGGCAGCAGGUGGGGAAUCUUGCGCAAUGGGCGAAAGCCUGACGCAGCGACGCCGCGUGAGGGAUGACGGCC
rnacentral:rRNA from 1 species